rnacentral:rRNA from 1 species
GAUCAUAGCUCAGGAUAAACGCUGGCGGCGCACAUAAGACAUGCAAGUCGAACGGACUUAACCAUUAGUUUACUAUUGGAGCGGUUAGUGGCGGACUGGUGAGUAACACGUAAGCAACCUGCCUAUCAGAGGGGAACAACAGUUAGAAAUGACUGCUAAUACCGCAUAUGCCUAAGUACCACAUGGUACAAUAGGGAAAGGAGUAAUCCGCUGAUAGAUGGGCUUGCGUCUGAUUAG